AACGCUAGCUACAGGCUUAACACAUGCAAGUCGAGGGGCAGCAUGGUCUUAGCUUGCUAAGGCUGAUGGCGACCGGCGCACGGGUGAGUAACACGUAUCCAACCUGCCGUCUACUCUUGGCCAGCCUUCUGAAAGGAAGAUUAAUCCAGGAUGGGAUCAUGAGUUCACAUGUCCGCAUGAUUAAAGGUAUUUUCCGGUAGACGAUGGGGAUGCGUUCCAUUAGAUAGUAGGCGGGGUAACGGCCCACCUAGUCAACGAUGGAUAGGGGUUCUGAGAGGAAGGUCCCCCACAUUGGAACUGAGACACGGUCCAAACUCCUACGGGAGGCAACAGUGAGGAAUAUUGGUCAAUGGGCGAUGGCCUGAACCAGCCAAGUAGCGUGAAGGAUGACUGCCCUAUGGGUUGUAAACUUCUUUUAUAAAGGAAUAAAGUCGGGUAUGCAUACCCGUUUGCAUGUACUUUAUGAAUAAGGAUCGGCUAACUCCGUGCCAGCAGCCGCGGUAAUACGGAGGAUCCGAGCGUUAUCCGGAUUUAUUGGGUUUAAAGGGAGCGUAGAUGGAUGUUUAAGUCAGUUGUGAAAGUUUGCGGCUCAACCGUAAAAUUGCAGUUGAUACUGGAUGUCUUGAGUGCAGUUGAGGCAGGCGGAAUUCGUGGUGUAGCGGUGAAAUGCUUAGAUAUCACGAAGAACUCCGAUUG
rnacentral:rRNA from 1 species